UACAGAGGGGGCAAGCGUUAUUCGGAAUUAUUGGGCGUAAAGGGCGCGUAGGCGGCCUGGCGAGUGGAUGGUGAAAUCCCUCGGCUUAACCGAGGAACUGCCAUCCAGACUGCUUGGCUUGAGACCGGGAGAGGUGAGUGGAAUUCCCAGUGUAGCGGUGAAAUGCGUAGAUAUUGGGAGGAACACCAGUGGCGAAGGCGGCUCACUGGACCGGUACCGACGCUGAGGCGCGAAAGCGUGGGGAGCAAACGGG
rnacentral:rRNA from 1 species